GACCCAAUCGCUUCCUCCGCUCCGCUACAACCGUCGUCCACCCUCGAAGCUGUUCUCGUGCCCGUCACUACCUCGGGAGCCGCCGGUGCCGGUGAAGAAGAACUACUGAUUUUAUUUUUAUUUUUUCGAUGUUGCAUAUUGUGUUUGUACAUGCUACAAACAUGUUUUUUUUUCUACAUACACAUUAGGUUUAUGUUGCAAAGAUUCCCAGUGUGCCACGAGGGUAGAUUUUUUGAUGUUGCGAGGGACCAAUCUUGCAACGAAAAGCUGCAUGCAAGAUUUUUGAUGUUGUGAGGGAUCAAUGUUGCGACGAAAUGCUGCAUGUGGGAUUUUUCAUGUUGCGAUGAGACGCUGCAUUCGGGAUUUUGUUGUUGCGAGGGACUAACGUUGCGACGAGAGGCUGCAUGCGGAUUUUUUACGAUGCGAGCGACCAAUGUUGCGAUGACAUCAUGAAGUAUUUUGAUGUUGCAAGUGACCAAUGUUGCGAUGAGAUGAUCGAUGUAUAUAGGAUUUUGAUGUUUCGAGGGGAUCAAUAUUGCAGGAGAUGUUGCAUGUGUGAUUUGGAUGUUGCGAGGGACCAAAGGUCAUGACCCUUUCCUCAAUAAUUUGUUGCAAUGUUUCCUUUCUUUUGGCCAAAAUCAUUGCAGCCAAAAACCCGCAUGGAACAUUUGUGUUGUACGUUUGCAACAUAAAAAAUUCAUGGCCACGUU
rnacentral:lncRNA from 1 species